CACGUAGGGGGCGAGCGUUGUCCGGAUUUAUUGGGCGUAAAGAGCUCGUAGGCGGUUUCGUAAGUCGGGUGUGAAAACCCCAGGCUCAACCUGGGGACGCCACCCGAGACUGCGAUGACUAGAGUCCGGUAGGGGAGCGUGGAAUUCCUGGUGUAGCGGUGAAAUGCGCAGAUAUCGGGAGGAACACCAAUGGCGAAGGCAGCUCGCUGGGACGUUACUGACGCUGAGACGCGAAAGCGUGGGGAGCAAACAGG
rnacentral:rRNA from 1 species